rnacentral:lncRNA from 1 species
UCAAAUUGAUUUUCUGUAGCUUUUGUUGAUCUUCUAUUUGUUCCAACUAAAUUUGUCAUUCCAUUUCCUAAUCCAAUUCCUUUGCAGGAACCUGAUCCUGAUGAUGACCAGAGAAGGAUGUAUGUGAGAGGUACCGGUGUUAGCUCAUAAGUAUAUUAGAAGAUAAGCAUCCAUUGUAUAAUUAUUCAGUUAUACUGUUAAUCCAUGCCUCAACAAUUGACUAGAUAAAACGAGAGGAUGAACAUUGGACUUUCCUCAUGAUUGGGUUCCUGGGAGGAGCAUUAGGCAAUCGACCAAUCCACCUGUCAUCAUGACAAAAGCUAAAAAGUGAAUGUUGUUAAAUUGGUUAAAAUCAAACCACUGAGGUUUGCAUCAAAUGUUGUUAAAUUGGUUUCGUCAACCAUCCAACUUGUACCCAAAGGAUGUCAUUUUUUUAGGUUAGUUGACUAACCCCUCUUUUUAUAAUGGUCCAGCAAAUUAAGAGGAAAGAGGGAAAAAUGUAUGACACAAGAAGAGAUACUUUUAGAAGCAGCUGAAAUAGGUAUCAUUUGUUUCUUUUUCUAACUUUACACAAAGGAUUUUUUGUGAAGAAAUGAUUUAAAUGUGCCAGUGUUGAUUAAAUAUUUGUUAUUAUCUUUAGCUAUAUUUUGAGAGAUCAUGAACAUGAGAAGGAAGUGAAGAAAAUGUUUAUUGUUCAGAAAGAUGUUUUUGGGGAUUCUACUAUUAUAUUCUUCUCGAUUCUUGAGAAAUGGUAACUUCUCCAUACCUAAAUAGUGAAUUUAGCAGCUAUUCUCUUUGUACUUAUCAGCCAGUGAAUUAGGGGAAUCGCAUCUUGAAUUUACUAAUGGGGCAUCAUUUUGUUCCUGCCGUCUACAUUGAUGUUUUCUCUGCUAAAGUGACAACCAACUUUCCAAGUUCAAGUCAGAUGACACGGAGAGGGGGAGAAGUUUAUGAUGGUUCUUCAUGUGUGUGCCAUUUAGGUUAUAUUUGAAAAUACUUUCCAAUGUUGUUUUGAAUGUAGUGAACUACCGAUUAACUAUUUCAUUGGCAGAUGAAUACUUAUGAUUGCCAUUUUUGUGGAUUUGGAUACUUACCAUUGCCUUUUGUUGAGGAUUUUGUAAUCCUAUUUGUCAACAUAAUGGGUUAGUUGUCUACCUGAGAUAGGUUUUGCUAAAUAUUUGCGCAUGUUGGCUGACAGUAUGGUCACCACAUAUAUGACAUUAAGGUAACAGAAGUAGUGCCCUUCUAUUUCUACUCUUACUCACACUAUCCUAUUGCAUUGGAACGAAUUUACCAUUUUGAAUAUUUGGUGUAUGCUAUGUAAAAUAGUAAGCAUGGUAGCCACGUACUCUUGUUUCUAUUCUAAAAUCCUACCAUAAAGAAGCUCUCUUUUGGAUGAAGAACAAAGUAAUCCCUGUUUGAGUGCCUAUAUUGUUGCAGACAAUAUGUGAUUUUCUGUGCUAUUAUUUGUGUAAUUUUAAAAGAAUGUGAUAAUGGUCAGUGCUAAUCACAUUUCUUUAAAAAAUUUAGCAUGGUUCUUGACGUCUACAUUGAUGUUUUCUCUGGUAAAGUGACAACCAACUUUCCAAGUUCAAGUCAGAUGACACGAAGAGGGGUUAGAAGAUUAUGAUGGUUCUUCAUGUAUGUGCCAUUUAGGUUAUAUUUGAAAAUACUUCCAAUGUUGUUUUCAAUGUAGUGAACUACUGUAACUAUUUCAUUGGCAGAUGAAUACUUAUGAUUGCCUUUUUUGUGGAUUUUGGAUACUUAUGAUUGCCUUUUGUUGAGGAUUUUGUAACCAUGUUCGUCGACAUAAUGGGUUAGUUGUCUACUAGAGAUAGGUUUUGCUAAAUAUUUGCGCAUGUUUGCUGACAUUGGUCACCACACUGAUGUUAGUGGACAGACCUUAAUAAGAAACUAUAAAUGAUUCUUCAAAUUUUAUUAGUAUAGUAUUUUCUUAUUUGCUUACACUUCCAUUUUCC